rnacentral:rRNA from 1 species
AUUGAACGCUGGCGGCAGGCUUAACACAUGCAAGUCGAGCGGGGAAAAGUAGCUUGCUACUUGACCUAGCGGCGGACGGGUGAGUAAUGCUUAGGAAUCUGCCUAUUAGUGGGGGACAACAUCUCGAAAGGGAUGCUAAUACCGCAUACGUCCUACGGGAGAAAGCAGGGGACCUUCGGGCCUUGCGCUAAUAGAUGAGCCUAAGUCGGAUUAGCUAGUUGGUGGGGUAAAGGCCUACCAAGGCGACGAUCUGUAGCGGGUCUGAGAGGAUGAUCCGCCACACUGGGACUGAGACACGGCCCAGACUCCUACGGGAGGCAGCAGUGGGGAAUAUUGGACAAUGGGGGAACCCUGAUCCAGCCAUGCCGCGUGUGUGAAGAAGGCCUUUUGGUUGUAAAGCACUUUAAGCGAGGAGGAGGCUACCGAGAUUAAUACUCUUGGAUAGUGGACGUUACUCGCAGAAUAAGCACCGGCUAACUCUGUGCCAGCCGCCGCGGUAAAAC